AGUAGCGGACGGGCGAGUAAUGCAUUCCUACGUGCCUCGAGGUGGGGGAUAGCCAAGGGAAACUUUGGGUAAUACCCCAUGUCCUCUCCGGAGAAAAGCUCAGGCGCCUUGAGAUCGGGGAAUGUCCUAUCAGGUAGUUGGCGGGGUAACGGCCCACCAAGCCGAAGACGGGUAGCCGGUGUGAGAGCACGACCGGCCGCAUCGGGACUGAGACACUGCCCGGACUCCUACGGGAGGCUGCAGCAACGAAUCUUCCGCAAUGCACGAAAGUGUGACGGAGCAAUGCCGCGUGCGGGAUGAAGCGGCUCCGCCGUGUAAACCGCUGUCAGGACCUAGGAAUAUUGACCGGGUCCAGAGGAAGGGCCGGCUAAUCUCGUGCCAGCAGCCGCGGUAAUACGAGAGGCCCGAGCGUUAUUCGGAAUCACUGGGCUUAAAGGGUGCGUAGGCGGUCAUGUAGGCGUCCUGUGAAAUCCCACGGCUCAACCGUGGAAUUGCGGGGCGAACCACACGACUUGAACCUGGUAGGGGCUGUCGGAACGAUCGGUGGAGCGGUGAAAUGCGUAGAUAUCGAUCGGAACGCCGAAGGUGAAGACGGGCAGCUGGGCCAGUGUUGACGCUGAGGCACGAAAGCGUGGGGAUCAAACAGGAUUAGAUACCCUGGUAGUCCACGCCGUAAACGAUGUGCACUAGACCGGG
rnacentral:rRNA from 1 species